rnacentral:rRNA from 1 species
GAUGAACGCUGGCGGCGUGCCUAAUACAUGCAAGUCGAGCGAACAGACGAGGAGCUUGCUCCUCUGACGUUGGCGGCGGACGGGUGAGUAACACGUGGAUAACCUACCUAUAAGACUGGGAUAACUUCGGGAAACCGGAGCUAAUACCGGAUAAUAUAUUGAACCGCAUGGUUCAAUAGUGAAAGACGGUUUUGCUGUCACUUAUAGAUGGAUCCGCGCCGCAUUAGCUAGUUGGUAAGGUAACGGCUUACCAAGGCAACGAUGCGUAGCCGACCUGAGAGGGUGAUCGGCCACACUGGAACUGAGACACGGUCCAGACUCCUACGGGAGGCAGCAGUAGGGAAUCUUCCGCAAUGGGCGAAAGCCUGACGGAGCAACGCCGCGUGAGUGAUGAAGGUCUUCGGAUCGUAAAACUCUGUUAUUAGGGAAGAACAAAUGUGUAAGUAACUAUGCACGUCUUGACGGUACCUAAUCAGAAAGCCUCGGCUAACUACGUG